AUUGAACGCUGGCGGCAUGCCUUACACAUGCAAGUCGAACGGCAGCGGGGGAGAAGCUUGCUUUUCCUGCCGGCGAGUGGCGAACGGGUGAGUAAUACAUCGGAACGUGCCCUGUAGUGGGGGAUAACUAGUCGAAAGAUUAGCUAAUACCGCAUACGACCUGAGGGUGAAAGUGGGGGACCGCAAGGCCUCAUGCUAUAGGAGCGGCCGAUGUCUGAUUAGCUAGUUGGUGGGGUAAAGGCCUACCAAGGCGACGAUCAGUAGCUGGUCUGAGAGGACGAUCAGCCACACUGGGACUGAGACACGGCCCAGACUCGUACGGGAGGCAGCAGUGGGGAAUUUUGGACAAUGGGCGAAAGCCUGAUCCAGCAAUGCCGCGUGUGUGAAGAAGGCCUUCGGGUUGUAAAGCUCUUUUGUCCGGAAAGAAAUGGCUCUGGUUAAUACCUGGGGUCGAUGACGGUACCGGAAGAAUAAGGACCGGCUAACUACGUGCCAGCCGCCGCAGUAA
rnacentral:rRNA from 1 species